rnacentral:ncRNA from 1 species
AAGCAAGACAGCGAUGGUGUUCGCUGUAAAUAUCUGAUUAAGAUUGAUGACACCUGUCCUUUU